rnacentral:rRNA from 1 species
CCUACGAGUGGCUGCAGUGAGGAAUAUUGGUCAAUGGCCGCAGGGCUGAACCAGCCAAGUCGCGUGAGGGAUGACGGUCCUAUGGAUUGUAAACCUCUUUUGUCAGGGAGCAAAGGGCGCCACGUGUGGCGCUUUGCGAGUACCUGAAGAAAAAGCAUCGGCUAACUCCGUGCCAGCAGCCGCGGUAAUACGGAGGAUGCGAGCGUUAUCCGGAUUUAUUGGGUUUAAAGGGUGCGCAGGCGGAAUGUCAAGUCAGCGGUAAAAUUUCGGGGCUCAACCCCGUCGUGCCGUUGAAACUGGCGUUCUUGAGUGAGCGAGAAGUAUGCGGAAUGCGUGGUGUAGCGGUGAAAUGCAUAGAUAUCACGCAGAACUCCGAUUGCGAAGGCAGCAUACCGGCGCUCAACUGACGCUCAUGCACGUAAGCGUGGGUAUCGAACAGGAUUAGAUACCCCUGUAGUC